UACGUAGGUGGCAAGCGUUGUCCGGAUUUACUGGGCGUAAAGAGCGCGCAGGCGGUCGUCCAAGUCGCGUGUGAAAGCCCCCCGGCUCAACUGGGGAGGGUCACGCGAUACUGGUCGACUCGAAGGCAGGAGAGGGUAGUGGAAUUCCCGGUGUAGUGGUGGAAUGCGUAGAGAUCCGGAAGAACACCGGUGGCGAAGGCGGCCUGCUGGGCAGUUGCUGACACUGAGGCGCGACAGCGUGGGGAGCAAACAGG
rnacentral:rRNA from 1 species